rnacentral:lncRNA from 1 species
GAAAUUUUACAUAAUGUCUUGCAAGUCCUAUAUAGCCAAUGAUUAUAACCAACGUCGUUGGAGGUGCUCUUACACAACUUGAGGUGUUCGGAACAACACUGCUAACAAAGAACCUGGCGUCUAAUCACAGUAUAAUUUCAGAUGUUCGGAACAACACUUUCUUAGUUGUGUCUGUUAAUGACCUUUGAGCUAAGCUUGGAUGUUUAAACUUCAAGUUUUCGUGUUCUGGGAGCACCUGAUUCUGUGUUUUUACCUGUCCAUGAUAAAUGUUUUUGUGAUUCCAUAUUCCUUUUAGCACUCAUAUUACUCAUAUUCUUUUUAAGAUGUAAAACAGAAAACAAAUCGAAGAUAGUCGUAACAAUCUGGAAAAUAAGAGAGAGACAUAAAGUAAAUAAAAAAGAAUCUUUACAUUGAAAAGAAUUGUUCUGGAAUCCCUACUAGCAAAUAAACAAGCGUUAGGCAAGACUCUGAUUCUUGUGAUGGAAUGAUUAAUAACCGCAGGAAUCAAAACCACAACUUAAAUAUCUUCCAAAUAAAAAUAAAAUAAAAUCAAUGGAUGAUAUAGGUAACGGCCAAAGCGAGCAGCAUGAGCACAUAUGCAAUUCCUUGGUCCAAUGCAGCUCCUGCAAUCACAAUCAUAUUCACUCGUCAAAAUUUACCAUGUCAAAAAAUAGUUCUAACCAGAAUUAUAAUAUCCCAUACGAUUAGACCCGAUUUCAAAUCGGAUACGACCCGGACCCGAUUUCAAUCUGUUAAAAACGAAAUCUGGAAGCCCAAAAUCGCAACUCACAAGUCACAACCCACAUUGUUAAUCUUAAUUUCAACUAAAUAAAAACGCGAGAGAGAGGGGGAGAGAGAGAGAGAGAGAGAGAGGAGAGAGAGAGAGAUGUAACCAUUAUUGGAAGGAGCAGGAGCUGGAGCAGGGGCUUGGGCAUUGAUGGCAGGAAGUAGAAGAAGAGCCGAGAAAAGAGCAAAAACAGCCAUCACAAAUGACACUCUCAACACCUCCAUUUUCUGCAAACCCAGGAAUAAAUGUCUCUUGCUACAAUUAUUUCUUGUGUGUAUGUAACGGUCAUUAUAUACAUGUACUCAGCAUAAUAUAGAAUGUAACGGUCGCCCUGGAUUUACAAUCUCUGUCAGAUGCAAAACCAUCAUGGCCCUUGAUAGUGGACACGUGUAGGGAUGGUAUAAUGGAACGUUCUGUGUAACAGCCAAUGUCGACCUGUGGUUGGGUGGACGUGGGUGGGGCUUACUACUCGCUCCAACUUUGGUUUUGCACAUGCAUUAAAUCAUUCACAGGCAAAUUACUCAGGUCUUUACGGUUUUUUAUUUGUU